UCAUCCAGGGAAUGGUACAAACCAAACUGAGAAAAAAUCCAAAAACUCAGUGGGAAACACAGGAACAAGGACCAGUAUUCUUGACAAAAGACAACGAUGAUCUGACACAGAACAAAGGAAGCACCCAGACUUAAAUGCAUUUAGGUGAGGGGAGACAAUGAGACACAGGUGAAAACGAUCAGGGCUGAGCAAACAAUCAAAACUGGCGGGAAAGGCAAACAAAGACAGGAAGCAAAACCACAAGACACAUGAGGGAAGGAGAAUAUUUCAAAAUAAACCAGACCAAAACACACCCUCAAACCAUGACAGUGUCAUGUGACCGCUUAAGGUGAUUGCAGUUGUUUGGGUUAGUGAAGCCAGAUAACGAAAAGAGAUCCGGGAUAUGUUGAACUUGCUUCGUAGUACAGGCCCCAUGUGUCACUGUAGUCUAAGCAAGGGGGAACGGGUUUGUUUUGUUUGUCUCUUGUUUUGCAGCACUGGCUAUGGCCAACACUGUUCAGUACUGUUCAGUGGCAGCUGGCCAAUAGAGGGCGCUAGGGAGUCGCCCUCUUUAAGCCCUUGAGCCACAAAAAACCCAUUAAUAAUAAUAUUAAUAAAUUAAACAAAUCACAAGUCACUUGUGUUUGAAAUAUGGAAUGUACCCAGUAUUAUGGGAAAUAUAUCAUAGAAAAUCAUCUGUGCAACAUGUAUGCUUUUCGUACAUGUCUGCAUGUCUCAGCAGCUCUGGGGCAAUGGAGAAAUUGUCGACAGGAGGAGGUUUGAGUAGCAGUUUAGCCAAAGAUAUGAACGUAUGACAUCAGUUUUAGCCAAUCAGCGUCCUCAAAUCUAAUUCGAAAAGGGCGAUUAUUUUAUCGCCCCAAGCGAGCCACUGCUAGUAGGUCAGGACCUUCUUUUAUACAGUCUAUGGUCAGGACCUCUAUAGGCGCCAUUUUAAUUCUAUGACAAUGGUGAGUGUGAUACUAACUUACUCCUCCAAGACCCAACCCUAUGUAGGGACCCCUAAAAUGUGUAUUGUGUUGAAUAUAGUUAGUAGUAAAAAUAACACAACAAAUUAAAAUGUAUUUUGUUUUUAUUUCAAAAUAUGAUGCAACUAUGUAUUUUUUUUGUUUUUUGUUCAUGACCAGUGAAAAAGUGUGUUUAAUACAAGUGUUUUGUUGCUGGCCAAUGAAUGUUGGAAUUGUUGUUGUUGCAUCAUGACGCGAGUUACGUGCGGAAGAAGAAGAAGAGGAGCAUCGCACAUGGAGAGAAGCAGCUGCAUGUGACUCGGUCGCGUGAGACUUGUUGUCAUUUUGGAGACCAGUUAUGUUGUCUGUAAUGUAAGGCCCAAAGUGCAAAGGAAAACGUUUAUAGGAAACAUUUUAUUCACUUUAUUUUGCUUUACAGCUUAAAGUGAUUUAUUUUUCCUGUUAGUCUCUUCGCGAUUGCUUGAGAACUCCGUGUGUGCUGAUUGCUCAUCAGAUAGAGACAUUUACAUUUGCACACAGUGACUGAUGUGAAGAAGUUCGUUGUGAACUCGUCCUAAAUUCGUUUGGGACCGGACACCUCUUGCAUUUCAUCACUGGAUGCAGCUCGACUAGACUUUGUUUCGUGUGGAUUGAACGGGACUGGAGAAAAUCCAUUUGAGAAGAGGACUUUGGCGGAGAAACUAAAGGUGAAAGAGCUGGGCCCAGAUCAACCUGACCUUGCAAUCAAACAGCAGGCUAGUGAGAAAGGGAAGCAGCGUGUGCAAGACUUCUCUGGUACACAGAAUGGCCUGGCUAGCUGGGUGCAGUCAUGCUAAUGCAUUAUUUUGCAUUCCGUGCUUCCUUUUUAAAAUAACGGGACAGAUACAGCAUGGACAGUUACUGGAGUAAGGGAUAUGAAGCACCUGUCUGAGAAAGUAAGGAAACAUGAGAACAACAGGGCACACAUGGAUAAUUCUGUCAAUCUAACGUUAGCCAUAUUCGUCAGAGUGAACAUCACUACAAAACUGGACGGCGGCCACAGGUGAGUGGUGAGGAAACACAGUGAGGAAGUGGAUAAAAACAGGGCCAUUUGAUCCAAAAUAAUCGAUUGUGUGAAGUUUUGUGGGGCUUUUGAGUUGGCCUUGUGAAGGUAUGACAAGACUGACUCCUCGGACAACCCUGGCGGCAUUUUCAGGGGAUUGGUGGAUUUAGUUGCCACCCUGGACAGUGUGCUGGAGGAGCACCUUGACAGCUAACUCACCGUUUUUAAAGGCACGUAAAAGAUAGUACAAAACGAGCUGUUGGACUGCAUGCUGUCAGUGCUAAAGGAUUACAUUUUGGAGGAAGCUAAUUUUAUCGCCAUUCAAGCAGACGAGACGACUGACAUUUCCACCCACUGCCAGCUGGUGCUUGUGCUAAGCUACAUCGACGCCAACAGUAACAUCCAACAGCGUUUUUUCGAGUUCAUUACCAUCCAGCACGCAACUACCGACAACAUCGCUACAGCGCUUCAAAUGGACAAUGAAUAACCAGGUAUCAAGAAGAUGUAGGCUACUCCAACUUUGACUAGAAGUGUACAUUUCUUCAUGUUCAGCCCCAGUGUGUGUUUAUGUGCAUAGUUGACAUUUUAAAACAAAUCUCAAAUUUUUCCAUGUAUUAGAGGUCAACUAAUAUUUACAAGGUUAUUUUGGGUAUUUCCUUCUGUUAACUGUUUUGUAUUGGUUAUCAGGGACCCCACAAUAUAUUUUUGAGCAUAAUUAAAUUUUAUUCACUUGAGAAAGUUUUGAAACAGAAGUUUGCUGGAGUUUAUUAUCUCUACAUCCCACAGCACAUGACUCCCAUGCUUAUGUCCAUUCAAGUGUCUGAAUAGCAACUUAACACCACUAAUUGCACUUCAUGUUUACUUAUCCUGAUAUUUACCUCCCUAUUGGUUUCCCCAACAAAACAAGGUCAAUAGAGGCAUCUCAAGAAAUAAACAUUUUCUAUUACAUGUUUUAUAUUAUACUGAAUUUGCCUGUGUGGGUGAUCAAAAUAAGAUUUGUUAUUUGUUAGAAUUGUUAAAUAUUGAACUGCAAAGUAGUAAUUCCUUUUUGAUACCUUAAUAAUUGUUUGAAUGUGGCACAGCCCUACCUAGAAAAUUUUCCGCCAGCCACCACUGGUACUGUUCACUAAUAAAGUGUCAGCAAAA